CCGCUAUUUUACUGACCCUAACUAUAUAGUUAAAGAUUCUAAGCAGGUCAGGACAAGAAGAAGACGACGCAACCGCAAUCAGAAGAGGCACAUCAUCAAGGACGGAUGGGCAGACUACGAAGGAGAAGUGAUAAGAUCUGAGGACAUACAACUUGAACAGAAUUAUCCUGAGGAGACCGUAGCACCAAGUCAGGUGUGAAGAGAGAAGAUAACUAUACAUGAAGAAGAGGCGCUGCCAGAAGCACCGACUACGCCACCCAAUGAAUCCUAGGACAACUGAGAAAACAGAGAGUCUCGUUCGGAGGACUUGAAAACACUGAACGCCUUGCCAAGAGGUAAACUUGGUAGUUAUCUUUUUCCUUUUAAUUAUGUUUAUACUGUCCUAAAAAGAAAAUAAAAAUGUUAAAAACAGUAAGCUCCAUGUGAGUAUACGAGUGACAUAAAACCCAUAAGUAUUUCUUUUCAGCUUUAUAAAACGAAAAUAUAAAAAUAGAGAGUAACAUUUAUUGAGGAGGCUCAACUUGAUAAAGGCUAGAUAUUUAUGCUAACACUUAAUCAGUUCCACAAAGCUUUGUUGUCUAUUUGAGCUCCACAGAAUUUAAGAAUCAAGAAAACUAGCAGACGGAGGACAUUCUAAUCGCUGUCAGGAUACUGCCGACUUUCAAAUACACCUCUGCCACCUGCUAGCUACAUCAGGAGAAAUUACGUCAAAAUUCAGCUUGGGGGAGAGCACCCCCAUUUAUCCCACUAAGUAUUUCUAUCUAUCUUUAUACUUAUAAUAUAUUAAAAUAUAAAUAUACAUAACUAUGAAAAACCAAAUAAAGAUUUUGUGCUUAUAUAUAUAUAUAUCUUUUGCUUAGUGUGCUUAAUAAAUAAAUAAAGUGGCUAUGCUAAACUGAAUCUUAAUAAUAAAACUCUAGCAUGGAUGUGAUGAAUAGUUGUUUUGUCUAAUUUUAAAAUUUGAGUUCUUUCUCAAGUUUAGACAUAACUGUUAUAAUUAAAAGCUUACUCUAAACCUAAACUUGUGGGAAGAGAACUUGAUCUAAAGUCUAAGUUGUUAAUGGAUAUGAUAUGGGAAGAUUGAGCUGCUGUUUAUCUGUUCCUAGAGAUGCUAGAAAUCUGGAGAAUUUUAUCUUUGAAAAUCUUUAACACAUGAUGAAUUCCUACCACAGCCAUAUAUACAUGCUUGCUAGACUUUGAGCCACCCAUUUACUUUACUACUUAUGAGCAUUGAGUGUGGUCAAGCUGUGUAGACCCUUAGGAGCUUGUCAUGUGGUUAAAUCAAGAUUCACUUGCACGUUCAAUCACACAUGCUUCUUCUACUCCAGAAGCAUGCAUCCAUAUAUAUCCACUCAUUCCUAUCUCCAGAACCACCCAAAAAUAUUCUACUCCUACUCUCGGAGAGAAUAGCCAAAAACAUUUCUGUAUUUCCCCUGUGAAAUAAAUGCUCAAGUUAUCUUGGUUACUACCACUUGCUAUAUUAUCUCAUGAGAUGAGUGCUCUAAAAAGAGAGAGAGAAAAAAAAUACGAGGAAAUAAAAAGGGGCAAGUGCCCGGAACCUCGAAAGAAAAGAAAAAGUGAGACGAGAGGUAAAAAGGGACAAGUGUCCGACAGUAGAAUUAGGGGUACAAAAUACCCACAUGAGAGGAAAGAAAAAGAAAAUAUAGAGCAUCUCAUUCUCCUCAAAAAGUUUCAAAAGAGCAAGGAAGGUAUAUAUCCCCUCAAAAGAGCAAAAGUAGAAUUAGACUUUCACCAUUGUUAUCACCAUCAUCACCAUACACCAUUCAUUCGCCACACAUGCACAUCUUGAUUUGAUUUAUUGGCUUGUUUCUUUGGAUCUAUGGUUUGACUAUACAAUAAAUGUCUUAUAAGUAUGUAUACUUUAUCUCCCACCUAUGAGCUCCAGAUAUUAAAGCCUUAUUAGAGUAGGGUGAGAGAGAAGGCAAUGUCACUAUGCCUUACACCAUAAAUACUAUAUACUUUGAGAGAAGGCAUAUACCAUCACUGCUUUGGUAAGGAUCCAGAAAUACCACAAAAGAGAGAUCUGAGAGAGUCAUACAAGGAAUCUCUGAGUUUUAUUUGAAAAUCUGCAAAAACUCCAGAGCAUAGCUGAUCAAGAAUAAGAGACAUGGCACUUGAUUAGACCGUUCUAUCUUUUAACUACUCAAGACAGAAGUGACGGUUACAUGUCCCAUGGUGAAAGGUAAAAUGAAUAAGUUUUAAGUUUUGACAGUUUACUCUAACUCAGAGAUAAGAUCUUGUUUAAAAGCAUGUGUACCGUCAACUUUUAAAGGCAUUACAACAACUUCUGAUCUAUCGCUAAGUCUAUCCUUGCUCAGGGACAAGCAAGAGGUAAGCUUGGGGGAGUUUGUUGACGGUCCUUAAGUAUCAAAUUUAACUAUCAAAUAAACAAAGAAAACGAUCCAAAUGCAAUCAACAUCUAGACUUAAGGUUUUAUCUGACAGAAUUCUACGAGUUUUUGUGUUUGUCUAUUUUUGCAGGGGGUUAUCGGGAAAUACGGAAGAAAAGCCCACACGUCAGGAUUACAUAGAGAUAUUAAUGUGGCACGCAAUUAUCUUAUAUCUAGAAGACUUCAGAAGCCACGGGAACGAAGCAGAGGCAGAACGGGGCCUGGCCCAAGGCACCCGCCCCCCUCUGGAGUCCAAUCAGGACUCUCUUUCGGGAUUACGCUCCACCGACCUAAAGGAUCAAGGAUAACCGUUCAAUCAAUGUCGGUUUGAUCCGACGGCCUAUAUUCACUUGGAAGGACUAUAAAACCAGACCCCCUGGCCCCUAGAGGAGAGAACCUCUCAACCCUAAUUCAUUAUUCAUCAGGGAGAAGAAGCCUCUGAUCAUGCCCUAGAGCCACCACAUCAAUUAGAUCUCUAGUUUAGCAUAGCUACAUAGGAUUAGAACUAGAAGGAGUCAAUCUUCGAUUGGUUUCCGGAUCUGUCAAGAGGAUUCUUGGUAAUUCUCUAUUGUUCUUCAAUUUUUCAUCUUUGUUCUUCGAUAUUAUGAAUAUGACUUUGUUCUACUUCAAUAUAAUGAUUAUGACUUUGCUCUACUUGUUUAUAUUCACAAUUAUAUUGUUCUUAGUUUAUCAUAGUUAUAUACUUGGCUUAGUUAGAUUGGAAUUAUAUACAUGUUUAGGAUCAUAUAGCGUUUAUCCAUCAGAUCCAUGGGUAAAUGAUAGAUAUUGUGUAGGUGUGGUGAUUAUACCGUAUUUAUGUGCGAUUGUACCCUAUAUGCCAGAUCGCGGGGUAGUUCGUGGUAGUGACAGCUCCAUUGAUUCUUAUAUAGUCCCCCUCUCGUGUAUUGGGCUGGCAGAGCAACAUUAUUACAGGGGAGUGAUUGCUAUGUUUCUCAUAUUCCUUGAUAAUAUCACUAUGCAUAGGCGUAAUCUUGUCUCACAAUGAUUGCUAAGUAUAAUUACACUAACUAUGAUAUGCUAAACUGUAUAGUUAAGAAUAAAUUAGGAAAUAUUCUUGUAGUUUGUCCUAAUACCAUGCUAAUGACUUGCUAGAAUAUCUAAUUGAGGUGCUUAUCAUAUUUAUAUGUGGCUAAGUUAUGCUGAUCAGAUUAAUUAUCUUUGUCACCAUUCAUUACUUUAUAUAUCCUUUAUGUGACACUUAUCCCUGUAUGAAAGAGUUAGAUAAAUGUUCUCAAUUAUACAUGCAACGAUAGAUACUCAAUCUUAUAUUCUAUUCUAUAAUCAACAUUGACGAUUACUAAUCCCUUCCCAGUGGUAAAAAUAUAAAUAACGAUACCUGGAAUACUUCCCGGUUAAAAUGCUACAUCGGUAUUAAUCUGUGUGCUUGCAGAUCCCAUUUGUUAUUUAUUUAGAUGAGCAAUUGUAUAUUUCAAUACCGCGUCUCUUAUGUCAUGUUGCAGAUGACAACUUGGCUUAAGUGGCAUGAGGGAUAGGUUUGGCAUUUUUGGCGCCGUUAUCCGAAUUAGAAAACUAAGUCAACUUUUGGUAAUGACGUUAAGAAUACCCAACAGUAAUGCAGGGUACAAUCAGAUAUUCAUGGCUGAGGAGAAUAUUCCCAAGAUUGCAUUUAGGUGUCCUGGUCAUGUUGGGUUGUUUGAAUGGAUAGUCAUGACUUCUGGCUUGAAAAAUGCUGGUGCUACUUAUCAGAGGGCCAUGAAUUUUAUUUUCCGAGAGUUCAUCGGCAAGUUGGUAGAAAUCUAUAUUGAUGAUGUGGUGGUUAAGUCUGGAGAUUUCAUGAAACACCUAGCUAAUUUGCGAAAAGUACUGGAGUGCACAAGGAAGCAUGGUUUGAAGAAGAACCCUAAUAAAUGUGCAUUUGGUGUAUCGACAGGUCAGUUUCUGGGUUUCAUGGUGCAUCAAAGAGGGAAUGAAAUUAGCAGGAGAUCGAUUGAUGCAAUCGACAAAGUAGUUGCUCCUACCGAUAAAACUGAGCUUUAGUCCUUGAUCGGCAAGAUUAAUUUUGUUAGACGAUUUAUAUCAAAUUUGUCGGAUAAGAUCCAAGCUUUCAGCCCUUUGCUUAAGUUAAAAGCCGGUCAGGAGUUUGUAUGGGGAAAAGAGCAACAAUUAGCCUUAGAUGAAAUUAAGAAUUAUUUGGCGAAUCCUUCAGUCAUGGUCCCACCUCAGCAUGGAAAGCCUUUCAGAUUAUAUUUAUCCACCGAUGAUGCGGUCAUCGGUUCAGCUCUCAUUCAAGAAUUUGAAGGAAAAGAAUGUGUAAUUUAUUACCUGAGUAGAAGAUUGGUAGAUGUUGAGAUAAGGUAUUUGACCAUCGAAAAAUUAUGCUUGUACUUUUCUUGUAUCAAGUUAAGACAUUAUUUGCUAUCGGCCGACUGUACUGUUAUAUGCAAGGAUGACGUGGUCAGAUGCAUGUUGCCGAUGCCGAUUAUGAGUGGUAAAAUCGACAAAUGGAUACUGGCAUUAUCAGAAUUUGACUUACGUUAUGAAUCGGCUAUGGCAGUUAAAGGGCAGAUCAUGGCCGAUUUUGUUACUCAGCAUUGCAGUUUGGUGGGUGCUUUGGAGAUUGUUCCUUGGACACUCUUCUUUGAUGGGUCUACAUGUGAUCAAGGGGCAGGUAUCGGUAUAGUGUUGAUUUCUCCUCGCAGAAAGCAAUAUGAGUUUUCUUUACCAAUUGUUGCUACAUCGACAAAUAAUCAAGCUGAAUACCAAACCCUAAUCAAAGGAUUAGAGUUAUUAAAAGAAGCUCAUGCCGAUGUUGUCGAAAUCUUUGGUGACUCUUUGCUUGUUAUAAAUUAGUUAACUAGGAGUUAUGAAUGCCGAAGUGAGGUGUUGAUAGCAUAUUAUGAAAGGUGUGUACAAUUAUUGAAGGAAUUCAGAGAUUUCCGCUUAGAGCAUAUUCCUCGGUUGCAUAAUGAAGAAGCUAAUCGAUUGGCUCAACAUGCCCCGGGAUACCAACCCAUCUUAGGGGUGUCAUUAUCGUCAAUCAGUGCUAAUGAUUGGAGAAAAGAGAUUGUUGAUUACUUGAGAGAUCCCUCCAUGAAAGUUGAACGACGCGUUAGGUUUCAGGAUACCAAGUAUGUGCUCCUGGAUGGUGAAUUGUAUUAUCAUACUGUGGAUGGAGUUCUACCUAGAUGUCUUAGUGAUGAUGAGUCCUAAACUUUAAUGGGUGAAAUCCAUGAAGGAGUGUGUGGAGCACAUUAGUCAGCUUUUAAAAUGAAAUGGACGAUUAGAAGAAAUGGAUAUUAUUGGCCGACUAUCCUUGAUGAUUGUUUCAAAUAUUUCAAAGGGUGUCAAGGAUGUUAGAAGUUCGGUAAUAUUCAAAGGGCACCUGCAUCGGCUAUGAAUCCUAUUAUUAAGCCUUGGCCAUUCUGGGGUUGGGCUAUUGAUCUCAUCGGUCAGAUUUAUCACCAAAUGGGUUGAAGCCAUUCCUUUGAAGAAAGUAACGUCAGCCAAUAUGAUUGAUUUUGUAAAAGAGCAUAUUGUUUACCAAUUCGGCAUUCCUCAAACGAUCACUACCGAUCAGGGUACUAUGUUUAUGUUAGGGGAGUUUGAUGAAUUUGCAAUCGGUAUGGGGAUUAAAGUGUUGAAUUCUUCUCCUUACUAUGCUCAAGCCAAUGGGCAGGCCGAAGCUUCUAAUAAAGGGAUUAUUAAGCUUAUUAAACAGAAGAUUGAAGAAAAUCCUAGGCGGUGGCAUACUCUGUUAAGUGAAGCCUUAUGGUCGUAUCGGAUGGCGUGUCAUGGUGCAACCAGAGUGUCACCUUAUCAAUUGGUAUAUGCACAUGAUGCAGUACUACCCUGGGAGAUUAAAACUGGUUCUAGGCGAGUGUUUUCUAAGGAUCAGUUAAUUGUCGAUGACUAUACUGCUUUGAUGAAAGAUGAGUUGGAUGAUUUAGCAAGGCAUCGGUUAAGAGCUUUAAUUAGCAUAGAGGAAAAUAAAAAGAGAGAGGCUAAGGGGUACGAUAAAAGGGUGAAGGCCAAGGAGUUUGCCGGUGGGGAUUUAGUUUGGAAAUUAAUUCUACCGAUUGGGACUAAAAGUUCAAAAUUUGGAAAAUGGUCUCCUAAUUGGUAAGGUCUUUAUCGGAUAAGUCGAGCUGCUCUAGGCAAUGCUUAUGUUUUAGAAACUCUCGAAGGAGUUGAAUUUCCUAGAGCAUUAAAUGGAAAAUAUUUAAAAAGAUACUACACUCGUAUCUGGGUUGAUACAUAAAAGUUUAAGUGCCGAUAACAGUCCUAUCGGCUGAACAAAAUGACAGUGUGUUUGGAGCAAUGCGUAAGAAGUUUAGAUGCCGAUAACAAUCGUAUCGGCUGGAUCAAAUGCUGGUGUUUUCAAAAUAAUUGACAAGGCACACCGCCGAUAAAAAGAUUUACAAGUUUAGCAAAGUUUGGAUAGCCGAUAUCGCACGUAGGUGAAUCUGAUUGUCUUCCUCUAUCUCUUUGGUAUCUUCAUCGGCUGAGCCUUCCACUGGUUUUAGUUUCUUCUUCAUUUGCAGCGCUUUUCGGGCUUGGGCAUCCCUCCCCUAUUGAAGAUUUCUGAGUACAUUGGGCAGUUGACUUUCCCCCUGCUAAGCUUGGGUCAAAGCUUCCUCCACUUGUUUAAGUUUAGCAAGCAAAGCCUCUCUCUUUGCUGAUAAAUCAAAAAUUUUCUAUUUUAAUUCAACACCCGAGGAUUGCAAAGUGCUAAUGCUCUUGUGCUUCUCAUCGACAUCACGCUUCACUUGUAGCAUCUCCUCUUUGAGUUGGGCAUGGGUGGCUCUAUCGGAAAGGCGUUGAAUGGCCUUCUAGUACUAAAGUUGGCGGCUCUCCAGAUGUGCAGCUUGAAAAAGAAUCUCCUCAACAUCGUUAGGAGUUUGACCGCAGAGAACUUUAAAGAUAAUCUGGGCCGAAUCAGAGUCGUCUACUAGCUAAGCUGUGUCCUGCUGCAACAGAGCCAAAAAAUCUUCUAGCUUGGAUUUGAUCUCUGCCAAUGCAAUUCCAAGUGCCAUUGAAGAACUUGCCUCUUCACCAUCGUCAUCAGAGAUGUCGAUGGCAAAGGAGAACAAGCUAUCUGAAGAGUCUUGUUCCUAGAAGUAGAAAAGAAUGAGUUAACCAGGAUCAAGUACCAAUGAUACAAAGUCUGAUGGAUCGGAUGACUUACUUGUUUCAGAGCAAUUUCUUGCCUCUAGCGUGGAGAUAUGACUUGUACUAUGCCCUGGUCGGUUGGAGCUGCCGAUGGAAUAUCUUUAGCUGAAAUUACUAAGGGUGAUGAUGGCAUUUAUAAAAGGGUCAUCAGAAAUGAUUUUAUGAUCAGUACUUUGCCUUGAGGGUGGAUGACGAUUAUCUACUCAGGAGGAACGACCGAUGAUGUACCAAAGUCAAUUGGAUCGGUGGCCUGCUCGGAUAUAUCGGCCAAAUCUGCUUGAGUCUGGGGUGCAGGAUGAGGCGGAGAAGACGGGUCUGAUUGGAUUUGGGACACUGGACGAGGUGGAGAAGGUAGGUCUGCUUGGAUCUAGGGUGCUGGAUGAGGCGGAGAAGAUGGUGCUGUUUUCUGUCGCUUUGGCUGGGUCUUGGUGCUUUUUGGGGCCUUUCUCUUGGGGAGAGCUUGACUAGACUGGGGGCAUCGGCGCCUGAUGAUUGAGUACCCUUGGUCUUUGCCGAUGUGCCAGUUUGUUGUCACAAGAUUUGAAGUUUUAUAAGUUAGAUAUAAAAGUAGAAGGAUGAUGUUGAAAUUUAUGAAGAAUAAAAUGAUCAGUGCAGGGUAAAGUUACUGAUGACAUUCUAAUUGUAGCCGAUGCACCCUGAAAGAAUAAUAUUAGGUAUGGAACGAAAUUGGUGUCUGAGAAAAAUUGGAAAUUUACCUUGAAAGCUUGUGCUAGAGUGGCGGUAGCUACUGAUGGAGAAGUUUUUGACCAUUUGUUGGUCGUCUUCUUGAAAUGAAUAGUUCGGUGCAUCAGGUUUGCCAAGCUUGGUGCAUUGUAGCCGAUCAGAGAAACUAGAGAUACUGGGAGAAGGUUGAUCGGCCGCCCACUUCUACUCAUUGAUGGUGCUGGGUCAUCGACCUGUUGAAAUAAAGAAGUGAGUUGCCGAUAAAGUUAAAAAGUGAAGAAAAGUUAAGAACUAAGAAGGGACUUACAAUGUCAUCGGGGACUUCAUACUCGGGGUCGAUCAUGUUGUGGUAUAUAUGAGCUGAUACCUUGAACAUGUGCUCUUUCCAUUCCUCCAACCACAAUUUAUAUGGCUGGGUGAUGAAGAGGGCUGGACCAAGCCGAUAGAUCAACAUCUAUCGUAUCAACAUUUGGCUGGAGUGGAGCUAUUCUGAUCCACUCAAGACAAAUAGUUAUUGUUUCCCUUGGCUUGACCACAUCAGCAUAACAGAGUUUGAUGGGCAGCUGACCAAAAGCCAGCUGACGAGCUAAUGCCGAUGGGUUAUAAAAUUCAUAGGUUGUGUUGGUGUUCUUCACAGUGCCAAAGUUGUUUACUGGGAUUGCCCUUGGGGUAAUGAUUGCCAUCAUCAAGUCAUCAUCCUUGUUGAGUGUGUCAUCGGCAUGAUGGAAAGUGAGUGGAAAUCUAGAUUCUUCGUCUUCAUAGGGCAUCCAAGCCAGAUGGUCCUUGGAGAGGCCAUUAUAAAGUGUUUGAAAAACUCGGCCGAUCUGAUUCUCAUUUGCAUCGGUCCCAGGAAGGACUAUGAUGGCUUCACCAUAAUUGAGGGGCGAGCGUGUUGCCGAUUCGUCUUUCGCUAGUUCAAGAUCUUCGGCAAUACCCAGUGGGAACUACUAUGUAAAGAAAUUCCACUGAAGGUGUUUGUGCAUAUGGGCAUUGAGCCACAUAUUAAUGAACCACCAAGGAUCUCCCGGAUUGCCGAUGGAUUCACCUAACAGGAGUUUUUAGCCACUUGAUGGAGGAGGUGAUAGACAGAACCCAAGAGGUCUCGACCAAGGUAGAAUCGGUGACCAUUGGCUAUUCACUCUGCUGCCGAUAGGUAAAUAGAGGUUGGUCCUACCGAUCGGCCACAAAAGAUGAUCUUGUCCAGCCACAUGUUUAGGAAGAUGGCGUGCUCUCUCUGACCAACCAAUCCAGUCUGCUGAUAUUUCUGGACAUACCCUGACCAACCACCGAUGUUACAGGUUUCUACUUUAUACUCAGUUUUGCAGUUGAAAAUACCACCAUCAUCGGCAGUUGUAACAUCCAAGCCGAUAAGCAUGACAACAUCGGCAAGUGUGGGGGAAGCUGGGCCGUGACCAAAGAUAAAAGCAUUGAAGGUGUUUGACCAAAAGUAUGAGGCUGCUAUCAUCAUUGAUUCAUUCUCUUCCAUAUCGGCAAUGGAAAGUCUGACACAUUGAUCUAGUUUAUGUUCCCCCCAGAAUACUUCAUUUGUCUUACUGACCCUUAGAAACCAAUCUUUCCAUCCCUUAGUGGGUUUUGGCCAGGAUCGGAAGGUAUCCUUCCAUAGAUCUAAGGCAAAGUUCUCUGCUCUAAACAGAAUCCUAUUGGUUUCUGCGUUGAUCAGAUCGGUGGGAUCUGAGUUACCCAUUGGACCCACACAUUGGAGGUGAGGUAGCUCAGUGGGAGUAACGACCUUGUCACUUAAAUCCUAGGGUUUUGGAUCAAACAAGGCAGAAAAUAGGAGGAAAAAAUACUAAGUAUGUCAAUCUGCGAGAAUACAAAGAACUACAGUAAAGGAAAGAGGAUAUGGGGAUGGACUAACCUCAGGCACGAUGAAGUUGAUAGCCAUUUUGUUCCGAGAAGAAGAAAGAGUCAGAGGCUUGAAGAUUCUGGGAGAAAAAGCUUUUUGCUGCUGGACUUCUUGACCUCUUCGUUGAGGUCACCAACGGGAAGAUGAACUUGGGAAUGGAGAAUGGCAAGGUGGAGAAUGAGUACUGGGGAAGGAAGUAUUUAUAGAUUGAAAUGAGCAGGGGUAUUUUUGACUUAUCUCUUUGCCGUAUCUGUGAAAUUCGAGGUUGUUCAGAUGGAUAUGGUAACUGUUCGCACGAUAAUGAAGGGAUUGUACAGGUGAUUUGACGGCAAGUAAUCAUGAUUUUGGGGAUAUUUCACUGUACACAAUCUUUUAGUCGGUCAAUCGACAAUCAAUCCUAACAGAAAAGUUGUCGAUGAGCAUGUUUCUAUGAGAUUUGGUUCGGAUGGUUAGAAGAUUUGAGAUAUUUACUGAGAUAUGGAAGUCAGGAUUAAAGUCGUUUGGAUUUGGUAAUAAAUUUUUUACCGAGAGGGAAGUAAUUAUGGAAAGGUUGUGAUUAUCUAGAGAGAAUUUUGGAGCAUUAAUGAUUUUAUACUGCGAAAUUGGGGCAUGUGUUGACACCAUUUUUUGGCGCAAGUCGGGAUGGCUGAGGAGGGCUGAUCGGUAGUGAGAAAAAUACUGUGUCAAACCGAUGAGAUGAUUGCCGAUGGUAGGUAAUGCCGAUGAUAGUAUGACAGGUGAAAGAUGUUGCUGGCCUGAGGGUUGAGAUGAUAGUUAUUGAUCAUUGCAGAUUGAGUGUCGAUGACCAAUGAUCGCCGAUACCGAUGAAGAAGGGUAUAAAAAUUGCUAACGAAGAUACAAGAAGGCAACAAAAUAUGCCGAUGAAGCAGUGCCGAUGAAAAGUGUCAUCGUAAUUAAAGCCAGUGCUGGAAUAGACAGGUGGUAGUUUUCCAUAUUUGUUAGAGUUUGCCUUCUGUAAAAGUCCUGUUUUGUUUAGAUUUAAAGUCCUAGUCAUAUGUGGUUGUAACUCUUUAGGACAGGGUAUAAAUAUGGAUCUAGUAGCAAUGUAAAAAUCAAUCAAUAUCAUACACAAGUUUUACAUCUACUGUUACAUCUACUUUUUCGACGACUUUGUCAAACUGCACAUUUUUUCUUUUAUUUAUGAGUUCUUAAGGAUUCAUCAAGCAAUGCUCGACGAAUUCUCAAGUUUUGCAUGAAUACCUUUUGGCCGUGGCAUCCAGGCACAUCGCUGUUGUCAGGACCAAAGUAUUCGAAUUAUCACCGUUGUCGAUUGUUACGUCAAAUCAGCUGGCACGCCUCAACAUUUGAAUCGGGUAUUAGCCCUUUGUGUUUGCAGAUCUAUUUUUUCAUCAACACCUGUCUACAUUAAUAAUUUCACUUUAAUAUUUUCAUCUGCAUAAAUAUAAUAUAUAUAUAUAUGAAAUAAAAUAAAUCUUUAUUGCUUCAUUUACUGCAUCGUAAAAUAUUAAAAGCUCCACAGGAAUAAACUUAUGGUAACCUUGUAGGUAUAUUUACUGUGGUGACAUAAAGAAGAAUAAUAAUAAUAAUAAUAAUAGCUUUUGUAUUUACUUUCUUGCAUUAUGAAAAGCCAAAGAAUAAAUAUUCUCUGUGGAGGCAUAAAAAUACAACUAUAUAUAUCAUGCACACAUAUUUAAUUUCUACAUAAUUAAACUAGAAAAUCCUAAAAAAAAGAGAAUCCUGCUAGAACUUGUCAAUUUAAAAUAAACCCAUAGGACUAAUCAAUUACUUAUUGGCUGAUCUAGCCCAUUAUUAAAUUCGAGCCUCGAGUUUUAGUUUUAUUUUGGAAUAUAAUUAUGCAGGAACAACAUUAUGACAAUGAGAGAGUCUAUUAGUGGCGCCCACUGUUGACACUAGCUAACACCACUUAGAUACUAGGUUGUCAUCCCUAGCAUGGCGCCAGAGUGUACAAAUGUAUUUAUAAAUGUAAAGGCUCUCUAGAAAAAAAUCUAUUCUAUGCGCAAGCGCACAGAUAAAACACCUCAUUGUAGCAUUUCACCAGGAUAAGUAUUCCAGGUAUCGUUAUUUAUAAUUUUGCUCAAGGGAUCUCAAGAAGAUUAAAUCAAACCAAGGGGCAAAAUCUAUCAAGGCAUAGACUAGAGAUAAACUUGCAAGAACAUGAUUACUAAUGAGAAACUCGUCACACAGUCACAUACUUUAGCAGGGGGUAAACCAUAAAGAUAAUGAUAAUAAAGUAUAAGUUCAUGGGAUAAAGAGCACAGCGAUUAGAAAAUAGACUACUCCUCAUAUGUGUAGGUGAUGUCGGAUUAGCUAGAGAAUGGAUUCUAAGUUAUCUACUAACUACUAAGUCAUAAUCUACUCUAGUUAUCUACAAGAUCAUAUAUAGCAUAAAAGACUCUUCAUUCAUGUAUAAGGAACAUUGAUAAAGUAAAUCAGAGCAUCGCAUGACUUACUCCACAAUACUAGUUCUGCCUGUCCUAUCAACCGAGGGUGGACUAUAUAAGAAUCAACGAAGCUGUCACUAUCGCCAACUACCACACGACCCGGCCAAUAGGAUACAUUUGCAGAUAAAUAACAUCUAAGCACCACGCUCACAUGUGAUCUAUCACCUAACUCCCUCGCGUCAAGAGCUAAGCGCUUUGCAAACUUAUACAUAAACUCAUUAUCAAUCAUAACUAUAUCAAAUAUAGAACUAGAGCAAACUAAGAACAUAAUAAUUAGAGACAUAAUGCAAUUAGAACAAAGAAUUAGAGAAAGAUAUGAAUAAUACCAAUCUUUAUUACCGAAGAUCCGAAUCCAGAGCGUAGUGCUCUACUUCUCUAAUUGCUAUCUAAUCAAACCUCUAAACUUGAAGGAUUAGGGAGUAGCUAAUUCUAAUUCUCUAUGGGAGAGAAGCUCUAAACCCUAACUUUGAUGGCUACCUCUGAAUAAUGAUUUCUCCUCUCUCCUCUAGGGGCCAGAGGGUCUGGUUUUAUAGUCCCCUCAAGUGAACAUGAGCCAUUGGAUCAAACCGACAUAGAUUGUAUGGUUUAGAUUGAUCCUUUAGGUCGGUGGAGCGUAGUCCCGAAGCAGAGUCCUGAUUGGCUUCCUGACCUGGGUGGGCGCCCAAGGGGGUGGGCGGGCGCCCUGCUCCCGAGCCCGAAUCGCUUCCCGUUCGUUCCCGUGGCUUCUGGACCCUUCUAGAUUGAGGAAAAUUGCACGACACGUAAUUAUCUCGUUGUAAACAUGACAUGUGGGCCUUCUCUCCAUAUUCUCUGAUAAACCCCUGCAGAAAUAGAUAAACACCAAAACUCGUGGAAUUCUGUCAGAUAAAACCCUAAUUCUAGAUGUUUGUUUCAUAUUGAUCCCUUUUCAUAUUUAUUUGAUUAUUAAUUUUAGUACUUAAGGACCGUCAACACACUCCCCCAAGCUUACCCUUUGCUCGUCCCUGAGCAAACAACUAAACUCAGACGGAUCAGGAGUUGCUUCGAUGUUUUCUUUCCUGACAGGCACACAUGCUUUUACAUAAAAAUUAUUCCAGAUUAAAGUGAAGUGUUAUGGAGUUUAGUACCUGCACUUAAGUCUUAAGUAAUCAAAAGACAAAAUAGUUAAGUCAAGCAAUAUUCCUCCUGUCUAUACUUCACCUUUGUUCUAGAGUUUUUCAUAGGUUUUCAAAAUCAAACUCAGAGUUCCCAGCAAUGAUUCUCUCAAAUCUCUCUAUAUGUGGUAUUUGUGGAUCCUUACCAUAAUGUCAGUUACCUAUAGCUAAUGAAAUAUUGAAGUGGAGCUCAUAGGAGUGAAAGACAGCUCAUACAUAUGUUGUCUAAUCGAGCCAUGGAUCCAAAGGAACUCAGCAUAUAAUUAAAUCAAGAUGUGCAUGUGUGAUGGAGUAAAUGAUAAUGAUGGUGAAAAUGCAUAAGUGAUAAUAAAAUUUACUUCUCAUUGCUCCUCAUAUUGCUAUCUCUCCUCUUCUUUGAUCUUUGCUUUGGGAGAACAUGGGCUAUCUUUUUCUCUCUUUUUUUUCAGGUGGGUAGUGGAUACCCCUAAUUCUACUGUCGGACACUUGUCCAUUUUUUCCGCUCAAGUGGGCAUCUUUGUACCCCUAAUUCUACUUCGGACACUUGUCCAUUUUUACCUCUCGUCUCACUCUUUUUCUUUCUUUUUCGAGGUUCCGGGCACUUGCCCCUUUUUAUUUCCUCGUAUAUUUUUGCAUAACCCAUGCCUCUUCUGCAUUGAAUCUUUUUAAAGAGAGAGAAUAACAAUAUUCGAGACAGUGAGUAAAAAUAUUUUUUAGCAAUUUUAAUGAUUGGUGAUGAAUGCUGUGGUAGAUGUGUGCAAGUGAAUAUCUUAAUUUAACCACAUGUAAAGCUCCUAAGGGUCUACACAGCUCGAUCAAACUCAAUGUGAAUAUAGUAAAAGAUGUUAUAGCAAGUAUGGUUGUGGUAGGUAGUUUUGUAUGCUAGGAACUCAUCAUGUGAUUUGUAAGUUUUCAAAAUAAAUCUCCAGAACUUAGUGUAGUAGGAACAAGAUAAACAGUAGCUCAACUUUAUAUCAUGCCUUUCGCUUACCUAGACUUUAGUUUUAUGCUUCCCAAAGAUAGUAAUUUUAGUUUUAGUAAUUCCUGGAAGAAUUCUAAUAUAAAAGCUAGGUACUUGUAAGUAAGCAAACAGAGCAACUGUUCAUCAUUUCCAUCAUGCAUAUUUUUGGUCUUUUUAUUUUUUCUAGAGAUUAAACUUAGCAGAAAAAUAAAGCACACUUAUCUACACACUCUUUUUAUUUUGUUUUCAUGUUUAUUAAAAUGCAGUAAAUUAAAGCAAGAAAAUAUUUAUUGGGUUUUUUAAUUUUUUUCUUUUAAGAUAAAUUAAAUACUAAGACAGAAUAGAAUAAAUAAGAAGAGCAAAUAAAAACUUACUUGAUAAAUUAGGGAGGAACUCCCCCAAGCCGGAUGUUGACGUUGGUCUUACUCGAUGUUCCAGAACCGUAUCAUGGUUGUGAUGUUGUCGUUCAUUGUUGUUGUAUCUUGUCUCAGUUCUUGCACUGCAGCAGCAUGGUCCUGGUUCCAUUUUUGUUGCUCUUCAGGAGUCUUCCAUGUUCUGCUUGCGUGUUCUGGAUGUCGAGGAGGGUGUUGUCGGUACGAGUGAAGAAAGCACCGGCCUCUUGAUAGUAGUCAUUCGUGAAAGCGUAGGAGGCGUCGGAGUAUCGUCCUGCAUCAAAUUGGGGCGGAGGUCUGGAUCCUGAAGCUCCAUACGGAUCAGUGGAGUACCUGCCCGUAUGAAAAGGCGGGUUUGUCCACUGGUGAUCUUGGCUCUCCGGCCAUGUCUCCUCUGUUGGCUCUUGUGGUUGCGCAUGUCGAACCCAUGGGUCUCGAAGGACUCGAGGGUUGUAAUCGCAAUAAUGCAGGUGUGCUGCUUCUUCUGGUCCAGGGUCAGCUCCAUACCAGGUGCGUUCUCGGUGAGUGGUUAUCCUUUCAGAUGCCACUCGAUGUGGAGCUCUCUGGUUCACUGGUGUUGCUGCAAUCUCAAUCAAAAAGUUUUGCACAACGUAGAGGCCAAGGUUCGGGUUAGGUAACCAAAUCUUGCCUUUAUCAUCAUAUAGCAUAUACAUUAUAUUCCCCUCUUUCUUUAACAUCCGAGCUUGUCUAAAUGUGUCAUAGCCAUGAUAAAUUCUUAAUUCUUCUAUGAAGUCCAACGAUGAGUUUUCUAGUAAGUGAAGAUUAGUGGCUAAACGAGUGAUAAGUGAAGUACACCCUACUGGUCCCUGCAGACUAGGUAUACUAAGCCAAUGAGAAACUAAUAGUGUAACAGGUGAAGUAGGUACUUUACUAAUAGCAGCAUAUAAAAGUUGUAAAUCUCCUACUCUUACUUUCCUAAUAUCAUCGCGAUAGAAAAGACUGUACCCAAGCUAUUUGUGAAACAUCCUAAGAGUGGGGUGUUCCAUGUCACUGGUUUGGGCUUGACUUUAAAAAUUAUCUCUAGAUAUUUCUCUCCAAAACUGGUGUCUCUCAAAGUUGGGUAAAUCGGAGUCAAUGUUCAGGAUGCAUCUUGAAGAGAAACCAAGAUGGUCGCUCAGCUCUCUACAAGAUAACAUAAUUUCCUGUUUAAACAUCCGAAAAAACAAUUCCCCCCUCAUAGUAUUGUAAGGUGCAAAGAAAUUCGAGGGUGAGAAGAUAAGAACCCAGCUCAGUUAUAUUCCAAAAAUUUGUCCAACCUAACAUCUGGAAAAUUAAGUCAAAUUCAGUGUCCAUACCUGUUUCUUGUAGUAAGGUUGGAUCGAUAGUAGGGGUGUGAAUGAAAUCUUUGUUCUUCAGUUGCUGAUAGACUUCCUUCUCUCUUCGGGUCUUCAGUCCUAGGUCUCCUAUCUUGAGAAGGACCUUAACUUGCUGACCUGAUGAAGAUGAUGGAGCUUGCGUGGGUGUCGGGUCGACGCUCAUCUCUGAUGGCUGUGAGGAGUGUCGGGAUGAACUCCUUGUACCAAUGUUCUUGAGAGCCUUUCCUGCAUUCUUCACCUUCUUAAACAUCCUGCAAACAACAGUUGGCAAAAACACAACUAGUGGAAAAUGUGAGAUAAAAUGUUAGUAGUCAGCCGUCCGGAGUGUCAGUAGUCUAGGGGUUAAUCGUUCAAGACAAGUUUCUAUUUUGGUAGAGCCUCCCCCUAAACAACUUUUACUUCCGCUUAGACAACUACUUACUAGGUGAUAAUUACUCUCUCAAAAGAACUCCAACCUUCCCUUCCACUCUCCUCUUACUCUCUUCUCUCUUCUCUUCACUACAAGAACUCCUUCUCGGGAAACUGAGGCUUGUGUGGUUUUCUGGAGUGUUUGUGUGAAGAGAAGGGGAGCUGGAGGUGGCCUUUUAUAAGCUGAGGAGGGGACAGGGCGGGCGCCCAAGGUAGGUGGGCGGGCGCCCACCCCUAGUGUCCAUCCUGGGUGUGCCUCCUCCACUUGCUUCCUUGCUUUGAUCUCACGCAGAAUAAUAUUGUGUUGGUAGUGGUUGGACGGUGGGAAGAUGUCAGGUGAGUGGAAACAUAUUGGUGGAUGAAAUUAUGUGAUGGAAUGUAUGUGAGGUGAAGUGUAUGACAUGUGGGACCCAAAGAGUGUGGGUCAUGCUUCUAGAAGAUUAAUAAAAUAAAAUAUAAUGCAGGAAAAUCUAUGAGAAUUAAAACUUAUUGAAAAUGAUUAUGGAAAAUAUUUUUGUGCCUCCACAAUAAUUAAUAAAUAUGGGUUGUUACACACCACGAAUAUUAUUUAUAUGGGGCUUUUUGAUUAUUAUAAUUAUGCUAUGACUAAUGCAAGAAUUAAUUAUGCAAGAAUUUAAAUACGAGAAAAUUAAUGCGGAUAAAUACCGAUUUACCUCCCGGUGAGGGUUUCGGAUUUUUAGGUCCCCCAAGCUGGACCUCCAAUUCUUUUAAUCUUCUGAGUUACCUUCCUCCGGAGAUGGUGUCUCCAGUGGUUCUUCAUGAACUUCCUUCACUAUAGAGUCUCUCUCUGGUCUGGGUUUGAAUGUGAAGUGUUCUUCUUGACCGUUUAUGUUGAACUUGAUUUCUCCUUUUCCGACAUCAAUGUGGGUAUUGGCAGUGCUCAGAAAUGGCAUUCCAAGGAUGAUGGAUACUUUUGAGUCAGAACUCAUGUCCAGUACUACGAAGUCUACUGGCACCAGGAAAUCUCUGAUCUUGACUGGAAUGUUCUCGGCGAUGCCCAACGGGUGUCGAACCGAUUGAUCCGCUAAUUGCAAGCACAUUGAUGUUGGUUCUAAAGUUGCAUGCUCAAGCUUUUUGUAGACUGAUGCUGGCAUCACACUAACACUUGCUCCGAGAUCACAAAGUGCAUUGUUGAAGUGUUGGUUUCCGAUCGAGCAAUCAAUAGUGGGGCAUCCUGGAUCUUCCUUCUUCUUUAAUGGUUUAUUGAGGAUGGCCGCACUACAUUCUUCUGUAAGCUUGAUAACCUCAGUGGUGGGCAGUGGUCUCUUCUUGUUAAGAAUAUCUCUGAUGUACUUUGCAUAUGUAGGUACCUGUAUGGCAUCGAGCAGAGGUAUGUUGACAUAUAAUUUCUAAAUGACCUCUACAAACUUACCAAACUGCUCAUCCGACUGCAGUCCUCUGUUUCUUCUGGGAAAUGGCAAAUAGUUGGUGUCAUAAAAAUCUUUUCUCAUUUCUCCAGUUUUUGGUGGUUGUAGCAGAUCUUCUGCUUCAACUGGGCUUUCUUCUUCUAUCACUGCUGGUUGCACUGGUGCUGAUGUUCUUUGUUUCUCUUUUGGGUAUGGUGGAUCUCUGGUAGCUUUGCCUCCUCUAGUAGUUAUAUUCUUUACCUGCUCAAUGUUAGUAGCAACAGGCAGUGCAGCAACUAUCUUUAUUAAUUUAAGCUCUACCCUUUUAUUAAGAGUGUUUUGCUCAUCAAAGGCAGUUAGUAGAAAAUCCAUUUUAUUAUAUAUAUCUUUUAGAGAUGAUUCAUUUGUAUCUAGCCUUUGUUUAACUUCAUCAUUAAUUUUGGUUUGUUGAGCAAUUAUCUCUUUUAAUGAAUGUUGCUUGAAAGUAUUACCUGAAUUCAUACCUUUGCUAUUGGGUUGACUCGAAGUUGGUUGAUAUUUGAAUGCUGUCUCAAUGGCCCUUUGAUAUUCUUUGAACUUGGCCCUCUGGUCAAUCCAAUGGAGCAAAUUUUCCAUCUUACUUGAUAACGCAUUUACUUCUUCUGGUAUUUCUUCAGUUUGAUGACAUUGUUGAGCUUUAUCUUGGAACCAGCUUUGAUUUUCUGCUAUCUUAUCCAAAAGUAUCUCUGCUUUUCCAGUUGUAAGCUCCAAAAUGAUCCUUUAGCAGAUGCAUCUAGGCACUCACGAGCCUUCUGGGUUAAUCCAUGGUAGAAGGUCUGCAUAAGUAACCAUGUAGCCAUUCCAUGGUGAGGACAAUCUGAUAUGUAUCCUUGAAAACGCUCCCAUGCUUCUGAAAUGGCUUCUGUCUUCUGUUGUUGGAAACUGACAAUAUUUCCUCUUAAGGCAGUUGUUUUGCCUAUAGGGAAAAACUUUGAUAGAAAGGUAUCUGACAAGUUCGUCCAAUUGUUGAUGUUAUCUUGAUGAGUGUAGAACCACUUCCUCGCUUUUCCUUCUAGUGAGAAUGGAAAAAGGCGAAGUAGUAUGACGUCUUUGUCAACUCCAUUGAUGUGGAUUGUGCUUCCGAUCUCUAAGAAAUUCUGCAAGUGUGCACUGGCAUCUUCAUGUGCCUUUCCACUGAAUUGUGUAGCUUGUACCAAAUUGAUGAGGCUUGACUUGAGCUCAAACUCGGGUAUUCCUUCUUCUACUGCAAAUCUUGGACCGGUUGGAAUGUUGUCAAGACUUGGAGCAGAGAAUUCUUGCAAGGUCUUUUGUGCCAUAGCUUCAGCAAUUGGUAGCUAGCUUCUUCUUCUCUAGAUUGCUUUGGUUCUGAUGAUGAAGAGUUGAAUGUACCCAAAGUCAAUCCUGUUAUACCCUGUAUAAAAAUAUAAACAUAGAAAAACAACAGGGUGAACCUGCCAAAGCAGAGGUGCCUUGUUAUGAUUUCUCACUUAGUAGCUGUUUUAUGCAAUUAUUUCUCUAUAGUCUAGUCUAAUAUUUUAUAUGAAUAACCUUGAUUGAUUUUCUGGCUUCCCUUACUGUUCCUAUUUAUGACUUAUUCCUGAGACUCGUAUAAAUCCCUAUAAGUUCCCCGGCAACGGCGCCAGAAAUGCUUGUUGACACUAGCUAACACCACUUAGAUACUAGGUUGUCAUCCCUAGCAUGGCGCCAGAGUGUACAAAGGUAAUUAUAAAUGUAAAGGCUCUCUAGAAAAAAAUCUAUUCUAUCCGGAAGCGCACAGAUAAAACACCUCAUUGUAGCAUUUCAGCAGGAUAAGUAUUCCAGGUAUCGUUAUUUAUAAUUUUGCUCAAGGGAUCUCAAGAAGAUUAAAUCAAAUCAAGGGGCAAAAUCUAUCAAGGCAUAGACUAGAGAUAAACUUGCAAGAACAUGAUUACUAAUGAGAAACUCGUCACACAGUCACAUACUUUAGCAGGGGGUAAACCAUAAAGGUAAUGAUAAUAAAGUAUAUGUUCAUGGGAUAAAGAGCACAGCGAUUAGAAAAUAGACUACUCCUCAUAUGUGUAGGUGAUGUCGGAUUAGCUAGAGAAUGGAUUCUAAGUUAUCUACUAACUACUAAGUCAUAAUCUACUCUAGUUAUCUACAAGAUCAUAUAUAGCAUAAAAGACUCUUCAUUCAUGUAUAAGGAACAUUGACAAAGUAAAUCAGAGCAUCGCAUGACUUACUCCACAAUACCGGUUCUGCCUGUCCUAUCAACGGAGGGUGGACUAUAUAAGAAUCAACGAAGUUGUCACUAUCGCGAACUACCACACGACCCGGCCAAUAGGAUACAUUUGUAGAUAAAUAACAUCUAAGCACCACGCUCACAUGUGAUCUAUCACCUAACUCCCUCGCGUCAAGAGCUAAGCGCUUUGCAAACUUAUACAUAAACUCAUUAUCAAUCAUAACUAUAUCAAAUAUAGAACUAGAGCAAACUAAGAACAUAAUAAUUAGAGACAUAAUGCAAUUAGAACAAAGAAUUAGAGAAAGAUAUGAAUAAUACCAAUCUUUAUUACCGAAGAUCCGAAUCCAGAGCGUAGUGCUCUACUUCUCUAAUUGCUAUCAAAUCAAACCUCUAAACUUGAAGGAUUAGGGAGUAGCUAAUUCUAAUUCUCUGUGGGAGAGAAGCUCUAAACCCAAACUUUGAUGGCUACCUCUGAAUAAUGAUUUCUCCUCUCUCCUCCAGGGGCCAGGGGGUCUGGUUUUAUAGUCCCCUCAAGUGAACGUGAGCCAUUGGAUCAAACCGACAUAGAUUGUACGGUUUAGAUUGAUCCUUUAGGUUGGUGGAGCGUAGUCCCGAAGCAGAGUCCUGAUUGGUAAUUCAUAUUUAUUUGAUUAUUAAUUUUAGUACUUAAGGACCGUCAACACCCACCUAGAGCGUUGCCGCUUAGCUCACUCUGAAGAUCAUCAACACCAACUAUUGCAAACAUCUAGCUUGGGAGAGGAGCAUUCCCUAGUUAUCAGGUAACUAUACCUAGGCGAUUAUCGAGUCUAUUUGAUAUAGUCAUAAAAUACCAAAAAUAUGUGAGCACAUGAAUGUUCACAAUAGUAUCAUAAGAAAAUAUAAAAAUACCAAAACUGUUUGGGCACAUGAAGGUCCAUAUCUUUAGAGUCUUCUAAGUCCAAUAGAAAUGAAUAAAAAACCAAACAAAAUUUGUCUCCAUAUAUUAAGGUGUGAUCAUAGAGUGUGUCCACAGUCAAUCUAGUUUAGAGUUUUAGGCAUGACCACUUUAAUAUAAGAAUUUACUCUGAAUCUAAAAUUUUGGAGGCAUAUGUUUAAGCUGAGUCUAUACAUGAAGGUCUAAGCUGCUAUUUGUCUUAUGCCUAGCAUUACUAAGUUCUAGAGAUUUAUUUUCAAAAAACCCAAAAUCUUACAUGAUGAGAUCUUGUAUGAUAAAGUUUAAAUUCCUACCAAAGCCAUAUAUGCUACAUUUAGAGAUAGGAAAACCUUUGCGCAUUCAUGCUGCUUGCUUUACAUUGAGUUUAGUCAACCUUUGGAGUAUACCUUAUGAGAGUCUUGUCAUGCUUUUCAAAUUAAAAUCACUCACGCACUCCACCCACAUAUGCAUUGCUCCUAUUCUGAGAGUAAGCGCAAUUAUUUUCCAUUUUCAUCCAGAUCCACCUUAAAAAUAUUUUUUCUCCUACACUAGGAGUAAACACCCAAAAAUAUACCCUAUAGGACAGCCCCCAUUUAAUUGCUCUAAGUUCUUUUCAUUAUCUCUUUGAUUAUUUAUAUUCAAACGAUGCAUGUGGCUAUGCAAAAGUAUUUAAAAAAUGAAAAAUAAAAAAAAGGAGGACUAAAAGAUGGACAAGUGUCUCAACAAUUAAAACAAUGGGUACAUAGAUGCCCGCCUCCCACAGUAAAAAAAAAGAGAAUAAAGAUAUCCCAUGUUUUCCUACAAAAGGUUCUAAGGAGGGAGUAAUUUUCAAAGAGCAAAAGUAAGAUUAGGAUUAGCCACUAAAUACUAUAUAUACACGUAUCCACCAUACUCCAUAUACACGCACAUCUUGAUUUAAUUGUAUGCCUCGAUUCUUUGUGGAUCCGUUGUUUGACUUUACAAUAUAUGAAUUGCAAGUAUGCUCAUCCUUGUUAUUGCCACUCCUAUAAGCUCCACUAUAUAUAUCCUUAGUUGUUGGAAGGCAUAACCUCAUUAAUGCCUCAAGGAGAUCCAUAAAUACUAUAUAAUAAGAAACUUGAGGGUGUCAUACAAUUAAGCUCUGAGUUUAUUUUCGAAAACUUGCAAAACUCCAGAAUAUUGGUACUGUGAAGAAUUUGAGACAUAGUGCUUGACUUGAUUGUUCUAUCUUUCGAUUACUCAAGACUUAUGCAAAAGCUGUAAAGCUCCAUGGUUAAAGGUAAAAUGGAUAAGUUUGAAAGUUAGACUAGAGAACAAUUUAUGCUUAAAAGCAAGUGUACUUAAAAGAAUUAAAAGUAUUGUAGCAACUCCUAAUCCAAGUUUAUUAAUUAGGCUUAGGUUGUUUGCCAAUAGACUUGCAAAAGGUAAGCUUGGGGAAAUUGUUGACGGUCGAUAACGUCAACUUUUAAUAGAACUUUAAACCCGAAGGAGAAAAUGAAUUAGGGUUUAAACUAACAAUUUCCAUGAGUUUUGCAUAUUCUGUGUUUUCUAGGGUUUAUUUUAUAGAAAGGUGAAAAGAGGGAUUCAAGUGCAAAAUAAACACGAGACUUAACUGCGAUGCAACUACAGAGCCAACGGGGUUAGGAAGGCUCUAGAAGACACCUGAAGGAACGAGACCGCUAGAGGAGACAAGGUGGGGCUGGCCGGCCCCACCCUGGUGCCGGCCGGUGCCCCCCUAGGGUUUCUGGAUAAGUCGGUUUGAACCUACGGCACACGUCGAUCCCACCGGGCUAUAAAUAAAGGGGCAGACCCCCCUCCGAGAAGGCAUUCUACACCCCGACGCUUCAUAUUAUCCACAUAAUUAGGGUUAGGGUCCCUCUAGUUGAUCUAGUUCUAGUUCAUCUAGAUCUAGUUCAUCUAGAUGUAGCAAUUAGGAGAGACUAGUUCUUCUAGAUCUAGCCUUGUUUAGAGAUUAGAGAGAUUAAGUAGAGGAGCAGAGAUUCUAGAGGAGUUCUGGCCUGUCGGUGCUUCUUUGUGGUUGUAUUUGUCUAGAUUUAGUUCCCUCGCUUGGAGCUACGUUCUGAGGUACUUUUGUAUUUACCCUUCUAGUUUAAUUAUGCAACUUGUUCUUAUUCGUUCUUUGGUUCACAACUCAUAUUGAGUGCUUUGACCUUGGUCGUAACUUGGUUGAAGUAGUAUUUCGCAGUGUAGGCGUGGUGCCUAGGCUAGGUUUACUUGUGGAUAUCCCCUGAUCAGCCAGAUAGUGGUAGUUCGUGUAGGUGACUUUAUAGCUGCAUUGAUUCCUCUGUAGUCCACUUCCCAUUGAUAGGACUGAUAGGCUUAUAGGUGCCUGAUAGGGGAUUACACUGAUUCUUCCCCUAUUUGGGUUACUUGCCCGAUAAGACGGUAUUAUACAAAGUUUACAGGAGUCAGAACUAGAGUGCAUUAGUUAUUUCCUUUUUCUUGAUAUGAUCUAGCCUAAUUGUAGGGUUAAGUCUAUAUACUAUGUCAUCAUCACAACUGUUCCCUGUGGAUACGAUAUUUAAAACCUUCGGGUAAAAUGUGACACUGGUAUGAUAUCUGUGCGCUUGUGGAUAGUCCUACUUAAAUCUAUUUAAAUGGAGUGCAGUUAAUUUAUACCAACACUACCUCAUGCUUUGGUGGAAUGGCUAUUCCGUGUUGGUAGGAUUGCUAUAUUGUGCUCUUAAUUGGGGUUGAUUCCCAGACUACAAUAAUUAUUAGGAUAGUCUUUAAAAAGAUGCUAAUUAUUACUUACACUAAAUAAGGGUUGGGUUUUUGCUACUCACAGUUAGUAAUAGGUUGUUCUAAUAAUAGAGUUAUAAUUAAAAGUGAUCAACUAAAAUGUUACCACAGUCAAACUAUGUCAGCUUUACCUUGUUUUAAGCCUUGCAUGUCAUUACAUUCCGUCUGUGCUUGCUGAGUUUGACAUGAACUCACCCUUGCUAUAAUCAUUAAAGGUUGCUCGGACGAACAAGAGUACAAUUGUGACAUCCCUAAGGACUACCCUGAGUCACAAAGUUGUUAGGCUCGUGUGAUUCUACCAUCGACCUUCCUCUGGCAAGGUGGUCCAGCUACAUCGGCAUCAAUAGUUUCACUUUUAUGUUAUGGAACAUUUUAGUUUAAGCUUCCCAUUCGUACUUUGAUCCAAUGGCUUGUAAUAAUGAUACAUUAUACUGUGUUUUGUACUUUGAUCCAAUGUAAUUCGUUUGAACACUGUGUUUUAUACCAUUGAUGAUGUCAAUCCAUGUGUGUGAAUUUGAGAUCCUAGCGCACAUGUGAUUUGGCACCCGAAUGCACUUCUACAGCCUGGAGUGAUAGAAGUGGUAUCAAAGCCAGGAUUAACCGUAGGAUCACACAGCCUAGUUAGAAAUGACCGUUUAGUAUGUCUUUUUUGGGUAAAAUACACCACUUGAUCUAUUAUCUACUUUACUAAACUGUCUCUCAUUAGACUUUAUCUAUUUGCCUUAUCUAUUUAGAUUUAUUAUCAGUUCAUCACUAGUCACUUAAUCCUUGCAGUUAUUACCUUAUCAUCAAUUAUUACUUCCUGCUUUUUACGUUACAUUUAUAUUCUUGAUUUCAAGUUUUAUUACUUACUAUUUGAACAUCUUUUAAUACCUUGUUUUUCAUUAUCAUUCUACUCAUAUUAUCUUCUUGUUCAUUGUUCUUCAUUAUUACUUGAAUUAUGUCUUAUUUUUGCCUUAUCAUUAAUAUCAUCACCUUGUUUUACUUUAUUCCUUCAUUAUUUGUCUUCAUAUCUCACCAUAAAUACCAUCGAAGUUCAUAUUUACCAUCCACUAAAGAAUCUUGAUUCAUCUUCAUUUCACAUACACCAGUACCUUCAUUUAUGUCAUUCAUAUCUUUAUCACUGUCAUGUUAUAUUAAUCGUUUCCUCCAUGUCUAUGAUCUUAUGCAUAAGUAGAUGACUCGUCCUUUGACCUGCCGCAAGAGCGUCAUCCGUUUCCACCCUGUUCAAGCUGUGGAGUUCCCCUUGACCGGUUGCAUUGACAACAUCGUGUUCCAGCCUAGCUAGCACCCGGAUGAUGGUGCUAAUCUUCAGGACGUGGAACCAUACGAAGAACAGCAAGCACCUCGGGCUUUGGUGGUGCAUGGAAGGGCACCUUGCUGGGCCCCUGGAGGAGAUGACCUCUUUGGCGAUGAUGACGAGGAUGAUGAUGUGGAUGCACCUAGAGGACCUGGUGGACCUGGAUGACCUGGUGGACCUCGAGGACCUGAGGGACCAGGAGGUCAGGAAGGUCCCUUCGCUACUGAUGAUGGGUGGAUUGUGACGGUCUGCACCCGAGAUGGUGGAGAGUGUUUCUUCCACUAUGAGCUGACGUGCCUCCUCGACCAGCAGCUAGGACAUGGAAUGUUCGUAGUGGAGUACUGCAGUGAGCAUUGGAGCCACCCCUGACUACCUGACUUUCUGGAAGAUCUAGGCACAUGUGGGUAGGCCUAACCUGACUCUAAGGGCGCUAAGGAUCAUGUCUAUUCAUGAAGCUAUGGCAGAAAGGUCUAAUCAGAUAGCGGGCAUCAAUGAUGCUGCUCGUGAGGCGUUCUACGCGUACAUAGAUCACUUCUUUGAGGACAUCAGCCAGGACGCUCGUUGCUAGUACCCUCGCCAUCGUCGUGGAGAGUUGGAGAUGACUAUAGCUUCUACUACUGAUGAGCAGAACCCCCGCAUGCGUAGGAUAGUCAAGCUGAUGGCGGUCACCCAUACUGAGCUGAACAGUUCGCUCGUGGAGCUGAAGCAGGUGCGUGAAGAGUUGGAUGAUGCUAGGAAGAGGAUUCCUUAGCUGGAAGCUCAGAUCACUGGCAUACACCACCUUCACCUCAGUGGCUUGCUUUCUCCCUUCCCAUGAUGACCCAGCUUAUGGAGAUGCCAGCGGACGUACUACCAUAGAAUAGGAGUUGUCCCCAUCUAUGUAAUAAUAAGUGCCACGCUUAGAAUGUUAGCACGAUCUUAGUAUUGCGAGUCGAGUCUGUGGUGUGUCUAGAGAUUAGUGGUUUGUUUAGAGUGAUUUGCUUGGUCUGUGUGAGAACUUGGAUUAUUAUUGUGUCAUUGGUGUGAUUUGGUUCUUUGUAAUGAGUGUGAUGAGUUGUGGGUUAUGUCCACAACGCAUGAAGAACAAAAUUAAGUUUAAGUUAUUUUGAGCUAGUUAGUUUGGGUUAUCUUUGGUCUCCUUUAUUUUGCUUUAUCAUAUUUCAUAUCGCUUUAUCAUAUCAACCCUACUUUAUCAUGGUUAGUUCACUAUCUGUAUAUUUCAUCUGUCAUAACUAUUAUGUUAUAUCAACUAAAAAAGGGAAGUUACUAUCAGCUGAGUUCACACUAUGAGAAAACAUUAUACCUUUGCAGUUUACAUUUCCAGAUCAGAUUUACACAUAUGAACUACACCUGAUUUUAUUAUAUUAUUUCUAUACAUUAGAUGCCUAUCAACACUAGGAGCAGUACCAACAGUGGAAACAAUGGCCAAUCCAACAACAACAACAACAAUGGCCAUAGUGGGACCAAUACCAAUGCUCCUCCUAUGAACCAGCCCAUGACCAUGGAGCAGCUGAUAACUAUGCAGAUGUAGGGGAUGGCCCAUAUCAUGAACAACAUGCAAUAGAAUCAGAAACAGAACCAGAAUCAGAACCAGAACUAAGGAGGUAACAACAUGUUUGCCCCACCUAGGGACAAGCAUGGAGAGUUCAUGAAAGGACGCCCACCGUUCGUCUCUCACUCAGCUAACCCUAUGCAAGCUGAGGACUGGCUCAAGGUUGUGGAGUAGUAGCUAGUCAUUGCUCGGUGCAAUGACAGAGAGAAGGUCUUGUAUGGCUCUGGACAGUUGUAGGGAGCUGCCCAGGACUGGUGGGACUCAUACUAUUUCGUGCAUUAGGACCUAGACACUAUUACUUGGGAACAGUUCAAGGUCGCUUUCAAGGCUCACCAUGUCCCCGCCGGUUUAGUCAAGUUGAAGAAGGAGUUUCUAUCUCUGAAGCAGGGCUCCAUGACUGUUUGUGAGUAUCAUGACAAGUUCACUCAGCUAUCGUGGUACUGUCCGAAUGAGGUGGAGAAUGACAAGGAUAAGCAAGAUCACUUCUUGGAGGGUUUGAAUGAUGGCUUAUCUUACAUGAUGUCUAAUGUUAAGUAUGCUAGCUUCCAAGAGAUGGUGGACACAGCACUGGUGCUUGAGAGCAAGCGCCGCAAGAUGGAGGACAAGAAGAGGAAAUACAACUCCUCUCAGCACUAGGCUGGUGCCAGUCGUGCCCGCUACAACAACCAUCAGGGCCCUUAGUCUCGCCCCGCUUAUCAGUCUGGCAAUCAGGCACCACAGUAGAACUUCAGGUACAACAACUAGAGUCAACAGUCCAGUCAGCACUACAACAACAAUCCACUGCAGUGCCCCGCUAGUCAGGCGCCACAUCAGAACGCUCUAGCACCGUCAGGAUCUCGCCAUAACUCCAACACUAUCCUUGUGAAGCCCAAUGCCAACCCCACCCCCACUAGAAAUACUUGUUUAAAGUGUGGGCAACUAGGACACUAUGCUAACUGCUGAGGAAGCUCUAGAUGUGGUAGUUGGUAUGUUCCUUGUCAACUCUUGUCCUGCUACCAUUUUGUUUGAUACAGGAGCAUCGCAUACUUUCAUAAGUGCAUAGUUUGUUGAGAAACAUAAUAUAGCCACAUGUACUAUGCAAAACACCAUGAUAGUUAAAUCUCCUGGGGAAAGAUGCAUUGUAAUACUGUGUGUUCGGGAAUGAGCAUUAAAUUAAGGGGGGUCGAUUUUCCUAUCAAUCCUAUCGUGUUGGGUUUAGAAGGUUUAGAUAUGAUAUUGGGAAUGAGAUGGUUGGCCAAGUUUAAGGGUACUAUCCAAUGUGCAAAAAAAAUUAGUUCCUCUAACAACACCUAGUGGGGAUAGAAUUGAGGUCAAAGUUUCCAUGUCACCUAGAAGAGAAGGGUCAGUUUAUCAUAUGAGGAGUGGGUCACUAGAGGAUAUCCGAGUCGUGAAAGAAUUUCCUGAUGUGUCUCCGAAGGACUUGCCAGGUAUGCCACCUGAACAUGAGAUAGAAUUAUUUAUUGAUUUAUUACCUGGUACUGCACCCAUAUCUAAGAGACCUUAUAGAAUGGUUGUUAAUGAGUUAGAAGAACUUAAGAAACAAUUAAGGGAGUUACAGUCUAAAGGGUAUAUCCGUCCUAGUUCCUCACCUUGGGGAGCUCUAGUUAUCUUUGUAGAAAAGAAGGAUGGGACACAGAGGAUGUGUGUAGACAAUAGAUCUUUGAAUGAGGUCACAGUUAAGAACAAAUACCCUUUGCCUAGAAUAGAAGAUUUAAUUGAUCGGUUGAAAGGAGCUUGUGUGUUUUUCAAGAUAGAUCUGAGAUCAGGUUAUCACCAGUUGAGGAUUAGAGCUAGUGAUAUUCCAAAGACUGCAUUCACCACCAGAUAUGGACUCUAUGAGUAUACAAUUAUGUCUUUUGGGUUGACUAAUGCUCCAGCUUACUUCAUGUACCUGAUGAAUAAAUUUUUUAUGGAGUACUUGGAUAAGUUUGUGUUAAUCUUUAUUGAUGAUAUCUUGAUCUACUCCAAGAUUGAGGAAGAACAUGAGGAACACCUGAGACUUGUGCUGCAGAAGUUGAGGGAGCAUCAGCUCUAUGCCAAAUUGAGUAAGUGUGACUUCUAGUUGAAGGAAGUAUCUUUUCUGGGUCAUCUCAUAUCCAAUGGUGGAGUUGCUAUUAGUCUAAAGAAUGUGGCAGAUGUUCUUAAGUGGUGUCCACCUCAGACAGUUGGGGAAAUCAGGAGUUUUCUUGGAAUGGCUGGUUACUAUCGAAGAUUUAUUGAAGGAUUUUGUAGUAUUGCAAAGCCAAUGACUACUCUGUUAGAAAAAGGUAAACCACUCAAGUGGAGUGAACAGUGUCAGGCCAGUUUUGAGAAGUUGAAGAAGAGGUUAACAACCGCACCAGUUCUAACUUUGCCUGAUGUGACGAAAAUUUUUUCUAUUUAUUAUGAUACUUCCAAGCAAGGUUUGGGAUGUGUACUGAUGCAAGAAGGAAAGGUGAUAGCCUAUGUGAUGAGGACAUCACCACAUUGGAUACGUUGACACCAUCGUCUUUUCCAAGUUGCAAUUCAUCUCCAACUCAGCUACCACAUCACUCUCGGAUUCAGCAUACACGUCGUCAAUGUUUUGAUCAUAACUUCUUCAUAUGACAUCAAAAUAGGGUGAUCUUGGACUCGUUGGAAAGGGGACAAUGACACCAUCGUUUCAGAUCUAGUCCCAGGUCUAGAUCUUUCAUGCAUUAAUCUUUAUGUCCAUGACAAGGUGCUGCAUCACCUAUUUUGGGACAACAUGGUCAUGUAUGAAUUCGGGCCUUAAGCCCAUGUUGUGGGCACCUCCCCCUAGUCACCUCCAACCCUAGUGUUGACGGUCCUUAAUUCUCACAUUUAACCAUCAACUAAUCAUGGAAAAGGACCUAUAUGCAACCAACAUCCAAAAUUAGGGUUUCAUCUGACAGAAUUCCACGAGUUUUGGUGUUUGUCUAUUUCUGCAGGGAGUUAUCAGGAAAUAUGGAGGAAAGGCCCACACAUCACGUUUACAUAGAGAUAUUAAGGCCUGCUACAAUUAUCCGUAUUGAGAUGGACCUAAAAAGUGAAUGGACCGAAGCGGAGGUAGAACAGGGCCUGGCCCAGGGCGCCCGCCCUGCUGUGGUGCCCAAUCAGGGUCCACUUCAGGGAUUAUGCCCCACCGACUCUAAGGAUCGAGGAAAAUCAUGCGAUUAAGGUUGGUUUGAUCGGAUGGUGGAGAAUAACAUGACGUGGAUUGAUGACGUGGAAAUUCCUUGGGGGCUACUCUUCCUAGAUUUCUUGGGGGCUAUUCUUCUUAGAUUUCAUAGGGGCUACUCUUCCUAGGCUAUAUAAGGCGCCCUCACCAGCCCUUGGAGGGAUAUCUCUUCUACAGAAUCAAAGCUAGGGUUUCAAUUAUUCAUCCAAGUAGAGAGGAUCCCUCUAGUUCAUCUAGUUCUAGUUCAUCUAGUUCUAGUUCUAGUUAGUUCUAGUUGUAAUCUAGAAAAUAGGGAGAGAGAAGAGGAGAGCAGAGGAGGAGCCGGAUCUGUCGGAUCUUCCUCAACAUUGUACUUUUGCAGCAACUGGUUCGUUCUUCAUCGUUCUCCAAGUUCUUCAAUUCAUAAUUCCUGAGUUCUUUAAUUACUUUUAUUUAUAUUCAAGUUAUUUAUUGGAUUCUCGCUUGCAUCUAGUGCUCUAGUCUUUGCAAUGCUAGAGUAGUAAUUGAUAGAUUGGACGUGGUGUUUAGUCUUGCAAUUGCCUGGAAUUGCACCCAAUCCUGCGGAUUGUUGUGGUAGCCCUAGGGUAGUGACAGCCCUAACGGUCGACGUAUUCCACCUCGUUCGGAUCAGUGUUUGUAGGGCUGUAGUCAGAGCUUCCUAACCCCCUUCUCAUCUCUUUAUGUGGUUAGUGUUCUGAUGUCCCGAAAUAAAUAAUCUUUGAAGUAAUUCUUGAUUCUUAGAUCAACUAGAUAACUCUCUAGAAACUUCCUCUCUUCCCACCAAAAAUAAUUAUAUAGUUAUCCUUGGGCAAUCUUGAAUCUUAUUUAGUACACUCACGUUCCCUGUGGAAAAUCAAGAUUCUAGAAUACUCCUGGGUGAAAACUACAUCGGUAUCCGUGCGCUUGCGGAUUUUUCUGUUUCCAUUUAAAAUAACCAACAAGCUUUCUGGCGCCGUUGGCGGAGAACGGUAGCUGUGCUAGUUUCGAACCAAGUCGUCUGUGUAUCCUUUUUCUUUUCCUUUUUUUUACCACACUCACCUUACCAUUUUCACCAUACCACAUGGAUUUCACUCCUAUCUAUAAAUUCUUUGCUCCAAAGGGCGAGUUAUUAGAGCCACCACCAUCAUCACAUCCAAUUCUUACAGAUGGCUAUGACCUCGGCCCUGAUCUAAUAGCCAUGAUUCAGGAGCAACCCUUCUCUGGGCAAGUAGAUGAAGAUCCAUACACCCACCUUAGAGAAUUCGAGCAGUUGUGCUCUUGCCGAUCUAUUAACGGCAUGACACAAGAAACCCUUAAAUGGAAAUUAUUUCCAUUCUCCCUUUUGGGACGAGCAAAAAAGUGGUAUGCUCAUUCUGUAGGAGGCGUCAAUGGAAAUUGGGAUGAACUUCGGGACAACUUUUGUAUCACUUUCUUCCCACUUUUUCGAAUCGGUGACCUUAGAAUCGAAAUUCUUACAUUCAAACAAAGAGAGAAGGAAACUUUAGGAGCAGCGUGGGCUAGGUUCACAAGCCUUACUAAUUCUGGUCCAAACCUUUCCCUGCCUGACCAUGUACUAUACUACCACUUUUAUCAUGGUCUAAACAAGGAAGUUGCUCUUCAACUCGACAUUGCUUCAGGAGGCUCAUUCGCACACAAACUCAUAGAUGAGGGGAGAGCUAUCCUAGAGAGAAUCCUUGAAAAUACCCCUUACACAGGCAUUUAUGAUGAGUUUCCUGAAGAAGGAAAAGAAGUCGAGCCUGAUCCUAAACCAAAAGAUGAGAAACUUGCAACUGAGUUAGAAAUUCCACCUGACCCAUCUAUUAAUUUGGUUGUAGAGAAACCUCCUGAUAAGGGAAUGCAAAACCAACUAAGGGAUGAUGAAACACCACCUUUAGAGCAUCCCUUUGAAUUCGAGGAAGAUCUUUUUGAAGAUUAUGGAAACACCUCAAAUUUUCCUAUCCAAACACGACCUCUAGCAGGGACCACUCAAUCCAUUCUAAGAGUAGAAUCUAUUGACAUAGUGUUGACGGUCCUUAAGUAUCAAAUUUAAUUAUCAAAUAAAUAAAGAAAAGGAUCCAAAUGAAAUAAAGAUCUAGACUUAGGGUUUUAUCUGACAGAAUUCCACGAGUUUUGGUGUUUGUCUAUUUCUGCAGGGGGUUAUCAGGAAAUAUGGAAGAAAGGCCCACAUGUCAGGAUUACGUAAAGAUAUUAACGUGCUGCGCAAUUAUCUUACAUCUAGAAGACUCCAGAAGCCAUGAGACCGAAGCGGAGGCGAAUCGGGGCCAGAGACAGGGCGCCCGCCCUGCCCCUAAGUCCAAUCAGGACUCUGCUUUGCGGGAAGACUCCACCGACCUAAAGGAUGAAUCUAAACCAUACAAUCUAUGUCGGUUUGAUCCAAGGGCCCAUAUUCACUUGAAGGGACUAUAAAACCAGACCCCCUGGCCCCUGGAGGAGAGAGCCUCUCAACCCUAAUUCAUUGUUCCAUCAAGGGAGAAGAAGCCUCUGAUCAAGAUUAGAGCCACCACAUCAAUUAGAUAUCUAGAUUAGCAUAGCUACAUAGGAUUAGAACUAGAAGGAGUCAAUCUUCGAUUGGUUUCCGGAUCUGUCAGGAGGAUUCUUGGUAAUUCUCUAAUUGUGCUUCUAAUUGCUUUCUAAUUAUCUUUGUUCUUCAAUAUUAUGAAUAUGACUUUGUUCUACUUCAAUAUAUUGCUUAUGACUUUGCUCUAUUUGCUUAUAUUCAAGAUUAUAUUGUUCUUAGUUUAUCAUAGUUAUGUACUUGGCUUAGUUAGAUACGAUCUAUAUACAUGCUUAGGAUCGUAUAGCGUUUAUCCAUCGGAUCCAUGGGUAAAUGAUAGAUAUUGUGUAGGCGUGGUGCUUAUACCGUAUUUAUCUGCGAUUGUACCCAAUAUGCCAGAUCGUGGGGUAGUUCGUGAUAGUGACAGCUUCAUUGAUUCUUAUAUAGUCCUCCUCUCGUGUAUUGGGCUGGCAGAGCAACAUUAUUACAGGAGAGUGAUUGCUAUGUUUCUCAUAUUCCUUGCUAAUAUCACUAUGCAUGGGCGUAGUCUUGUCUCGCAAUGAUUGCUAAGUAUGCUUGCACUAACUAUGAUAUGCUAGACUAUAUAGUUAAGAAUAACUUAGGGAAUAUUCUUGUAGUUCGUUCUAAUACCAUGCUAAUGACUUUCUAGAGUAUCUAAUUGAGGUGCUUAUCAUAUUUAUUAUGUGGCUAGAUCAGAUUAGUUAUCCUUGUCACUAUUAUCAUUUCAUAUAUCUAUUAUGUGACACUUAUCCCUGUAUGAAGAGUUAGAUAUAAUGUUCUCAAUUAUACAUGCAAUGAUAGAUGCUCAAUCUCAUAUUCUAUUCUGUAAUCAAUAGUGAUGAUUGAUUAAUCCCUUCCCAGUGGUAAAAAUAUAAAUAACGAUACCUGGAAUACUUCCCGGUUAAAAUGCUACAUCGGUAUUAAUCUGUGCGCUUGCAGAUCCCAUUCAUUAUUUAUUUAGAAGAGCAAUUGCAUAUUUCAAUACCGCGUCUCUCAUGUCAUGCUGGGGAUGACAACUUGGCUUAAGUGGUGUGAGGGAUAGGUUUGGCAUUUUUGGCACCGUUGCUAGAUUUAGAACUUAGUCUACUUUUGGUAAUGAUGUUAAGAAUACCCAACAAGCAUUUUUGGCGCCGUUGCCGGGGAAGGUUGAUUACCAAUCAGGAAUGGAAUAAAAGAUUUUGAGUUAUCAUUCGCAUCACUAAUAUGAUUGAGCUUAUCUAUUCUCUCAUACAGUUUUACCCCGAUAUUUUUCUAUUUUAUCUUAUGCAGGGGAAUGUAUGAAUAGAAGACAUCUUCCAGGAAAUUUUGUUGACAAUCCUGAAGCAUUAUUCAAGAAGACGAGGGCCAAGCUAAAGAAAUCAUCAACACUUCACGAAGAAGCUUCAUCCAAUCAAGAAGAUCACCGGAACUUGUCUUCAGAGUUCGAAGCCAUGGCGAACAAAUCGAUCCGCGAGUUCUCAGCUCCCACUACGGACAACAUCCGCACUGGACCUGCUGCAGAGAUCGAUGGCAACUUUGAGCUCAAGCCUGGACUUAUCAACAUGGUGCAAUCCAACCAGUUCUGUGGGAAGGCACACGAAGAUGCUAGUGCUCAUUUACAACAGUUCCUGGAGAUUUGCAACACAUUCACCAUAGCAGGAGUUUCCAAAGACGCUAUACUACUUCGCCUCUUCCCAUUCUCACUGUUAGGAAGAGCGAAGCAGUGGUUCUACGCUACAAAGGAGAAGAAUACUACAUGGGCACUCUGCUCAACAAACUUCCUGGCAAAGUUCUUUCCCAUGGGCAAGACCAAUGCUCUCCGUGGGAAGAUUACAAGUUUUCAGCAACAAAAUGAUGAAUCUGUUCCAGAAGCAUGGGAGCGCUUUCAAGACUACAUCCUAGAAUGUCCCCAUCAUGGAAUGGAGAGUUGGCUAUUGAUGCAGACAUUCUAUCAUGGGCUCAGCAACAGUGCCCGAGAGACCAUGGAUGCUGCAGCUGGAGGAGCAUUCUUAUCACUUACUAUACCACAAGCCACAGCUCUUGUGGAGAAGAUGGCGUCCAAUCAAAGCUGGAAUGAAGAGAGGACCCAGACACGCAAGAGAGGUGGAGGUAUGCAUCAGCUGAAGGAGGUAGACAUGCUGUCUGCAAAGCUAGACCUGCUCAUGAAGAAGCUCGAUGAUAAAGCUGGAGACAAGAAAGAAGUUAUGCACAUCUACGACUCUCACAUGACUUGUGAGGAGUGUGGAGACACUGGACACUCAGGAAACCACUGCCCUGAGAUGCUUGAGGAUGUGAACUACAUCAACAACAACUACUACUACAACCGUCCUCAACAAAAUCAAGGUUGGAAUCAACAGAGGCCUAACUACUCAGGUAAUUAUCAAGGUAACAAUUCUUACAACAAUAAUAAUAAUUUUCUACCUUUGAGAGAGUUAGUGUCUAAUCAAGGAAAGCUAAUGGAUAACCUAUCUAAGAAAUUGGCAUCUAAUGAUAAAAUGCUAGAAAAUAUAAAUAAUAGAAUGGAUAAUUUUUCUACUGCCAUCAAGAAUCAAAUUAGCUUUAAUAAAAUGAUUGAAUCUCAGUUAAAUCAGAUAGCUGCUGCUGUUCCUACUACUAACCCCGGUAUACCAUCACAACCGGAAGGAUUAGAAUCUGCAAAUCUUGUAGACGUGUUUGAUGCAGGUAAUUGGAGUAACCCCGUCAAUGAAUUUUCUACUGACCGUCUGCCGGUCAAGAGAGGCGAUCCAGGACGCCCCGUCAUCCCGAUCUCCAUCGGCAUGGUGGACUUCCGAGAAGCACUCUACGACUUUGGCUCCAGUGUCAACAUUAUACCCAGGGUACUCUAUGAGAAAUUCUUUACAUAUCCUUUAUUAGAGACAACCAUGUGUUUGCAGUUUGCAGAUCAGACGAUAACUUUUCCAAAAGGAAUAGUGAGGAACGUUUGUGUCCGAGUUGGUACCUUGUAUGCACCAGCAGACUUCGUAGUGGUAGAGACCGGAAAUGAUGAGAGAGCACCUAUCAUCCUAGGGAGGCCAUUUUUGAACACCACGGGAGCUAUCAUCUACGCCAGUGCUGCUAAGAUCAGUUUCUACGUCAAAGGGAAGAAGGAAACAUUUUUCUUCAAAAACAAGACUACACAAAUUCCAAAUCAAUCCAGACGUCAAUCAAGGAAGAGGACCAACAGGAGGAACAGGAACAAGCAAGUGUGGACCGAGUCAGCUCAGAUGGUCACUGUAGUCCAUGGAGGCCAAGAUCACCAACUUAAGUCACCGUGCUUGACCAAGAAGGACGACCCAGGAAUGCCAAGCAUUUACUGCUCCAUAAAUGGAUACAACUUCUACAAGACAAUUUGUGACACCGGAUCGGGCGUCAACAUAAUGGCCGCAGUCACCUAUCGGCUCUUAUUCGGGACCAUGCCACUAAGACCAACAUACAUUCAGCUCCAGAUGGCAGAUCAGACAUUUCGAGAAGUUCAAGGAAUAGUAUCUGAUGUCCCAGUCAAAAUAGACGAUCAUUUUGUCUACACAGACUUUCAAGUUGUUGGCAUGGGAGAAGACGAGUAUGAUCCACCCAUCAUCCCUGGAAGACCGUUCCUCAGCACCGUUAAAGCCAUUAUCUACAUUGGAACAGGAGAAGUCCAUAUGCACUUCCCCUCAGAGAAGGUACGCCGUUAUUUUACUGACCCUAACUAUAUCAUUGAAGAAUCUAAGCAGGUAAGAAAACGACGCAACCGCAACCAGAGGAGGCAGAUCAUUAAGGACGGAUGGGCAGACUAUGAAGGAGAAGUUGUAAGGUCAGAAGACGUAGAGUUUAAACAGAAUUAUCCAGAGGAGAUUGAAGCACCGAAUCAGGUGUGGAAAAUGAAGAUAACUAUACAAGAAGAGGAGGCGCUGCCGGAAGUACCGACUACGCCACCCAACGAACCUCAGGACGAUUAAGAAAUUGGAGAGUCCCGUUCGGAGGACUUAAAAACACCGAACGCCUUGCCAAGAGGUAAACUUGGUAGUUACCCUUUCCCUUUCAGUUAUUUUAAAUAGUUUACUUAGUUAAACAUGCUCAUACUGUCUUAAAAAGAAAAUAAAAAUGUGAAAAAUAGUAAGCCCCAUGUGAAUAGACGAGUGGCAUAAAACCCAUACGUACAUUCACUGUGGUGGCAUAAAAAUAAAAUAAAUAUUUUUCUGCUUUAUAAAAUAAAAAUAUAAAAACAGGGAGUAAUAAUUAUUAAGGAGUCUCAAGAUGAUAAAGGCUAGAUAUUUAUGCUAACACUUAAUCAGUUCCACAAGCUUUGUUGUCUAUUUGAGCUCCACAAAAUUUAAGAAUCAAGAAGACUAGCAGACGGAGGACAUUCUAAUCGCUGUCAGAAUGCUGCUUUCAAAUACACCUCUGCCACCUGCUAGCUACAUCAAGAGAAAUUACGUCAAAACUCAGCUUGGGGGAGAGCACCUCCAUUUAUCUCGAUAAGUAUUUCUAUCUAUCUAUCUUUAUAUUUAUAUUAUUUUAGAAUAUUAAUACACAUAAACUAUGGGAAAACCAAAUAAAGAUUUUAUGCUUAUAUAUAUAUAUUACUUAGUGUGUUUAAUUAAUAAAUAAAGUGGCUAUGCUAAUCUGUAUCUAAUAAAACUUAAGCAUGGAUAUGAUGAAUAGUUGCUCUGCCUAAUUUGCACAUUUUAAGUUCUCUCUCAAGUUUAGACAUAACUAUUAUAAUUUAAAGCUUGCCCUAGACCUAAACUUGUGGGAUGAAAACUUGAUCUGAAGUCUAAGUUGUUAACGGAUACGAUAUAGGAAGGUUGAGCUGCUGUUUAUCUGUUCCUAGAGAUGCUAGAAUUCUGGAGAAUUUAUCUUUGAAAAUCUUUAAAAUGUUGCAUGAUGAGUUCCUGUAUGAUGAGAGCUUAAAUUCCUACCACAGCCAUAUAUACAUGCUUGCUAGACUUUGAGCCACACAUUUACUAUUUAUUGCUUAUGAGCAUUGAGUAUGGUCAAGCUGUGUAGACCCUUAGGAGCUUGUCAUGUGGUUAAAUCAAGAUUUCACUUGCACGUUCACUCAUAUAUGCUACUUCUUCUCCGGAAGUACCAUCCACAUACAUCCACUCAUUUCCAUCUCAAGAACCACCUAAAAAUAUUCUACUCCUAAUCCGGGAGAGAAUAACCAAAAAUAUUUCUGUUUUCCCCUUGUGAAAUAAAUGCUCAAGUUAUCUCGUUACUACCACUUGCUAUAUUAUCUCAAGAGAUGAGUGCUCUAAAAAAAAGAAGAAGAAGAAAAUAAUACGAGGAAAUAAAAAGGAGCAAGUGCUCGGAACCUCGAAAGAAAAGAAAAAGUGAGACGAGAGGUAAAAAUGGACAAGUGUCCGAUAGUAGAAUUAGGGGUGCAAGAUACCCACCUGAGAGAAAAGAAAAAGAAGAGCAUCUCAUUCUCCUCAUAAAGUUUCAAAAGCAAGGAAGGUAUGUAUCCCCUCAGAAGAGCAAAGUAGAAUUAGACUUUCACCACCAUUGUUUUCACCAUUGUUUUCACCAUUGUUAUCACCAUCAUCACCAUAUACCAUUCAUUCGCCACACAUGCACAUCUUGAUUAAACUUAUUGACUUGUUACUUUGGAUCCAUGGUUUGACUAUGCAAUACAUGUCUUGUAAGUAUGUAUACUUUAUCUCCCACCUAUGAGCUCCAGAUAUUAAAGCCUUAUUAGAGUAGGAUGAGAGAGAAGGCAAUGUUACUAUGCCUCAUACCACAAAUACCACAUAUCUUGAGAGAAGGCAUAUACCAUCAAUGCCUUGGUAAGGAUCCAAAAAUACCACAAAAGAGAGACCUGAGAGAAUCAUACAAGGAAUUCUGAGUUUUAUUUGAAAAUCUGCAAAAAUCCCAGAGCUAUAGCUGAUCAAGAAUAAGAGACAUGGCACUUGGCUAGACUGUUCUAUCUUUUAACCACUCAAGAAAGAAGUGACAGUUACAAGUCCCAUGGUGAAGGUAAAGUAAGUAAGUUUUAAGUCUUGACAGUUUACUCUAACUC
rnacentral:lncRNA from 1 species